rnacentral:rRNA from 1 species
AUAUCAUUAAGCGGAGGAAAAGAGACCAACAGGGAUGCCCUCAGUAACGGCGAGUGAAGCGGGCAAAGCUCAAACUGAAAAUCGGAGGCCUAAACGGGUCUUCGAAUUGUAGUCUAACGACGCGCCAUCAGUAGGGACACGGGUAUAAAUCCUUUGGAACAGGGUAUCAAAGAGGGUGAGAAUCCCGUAUUUGACUCGGAGUUCCCUGCGUACGAUGCGUGUUCACAGAGUCGAGUUGCUUGGGAUUGCAGCUCUAAGCGGGUGGUAAAUUUCAUCUAAAGCUAAAUAUCGACGAGAGACCGAUAGCGAACAAGUACCGUGAGGGAAAGAUGAAAAGAACUUUGAAAAGAGAGUUAAAAAGUACUUGAAAUUGUUAAGAGGUAAGCACUGGAAACCAGUCGUCUGUUCGUGAUCCUCGCUUGCCUGCUAGCUUGAAGCGUGGUGCUGAGACCGCAAGGCUCGGUUGUUGCGUUUGAGAGUGUGUGGGUGGGUCCAGUCACGGAUAGAAGGUCAAAAUCGUUUUGACUCGGGGGAGAAAGCUGCUGGGAAGAUAGGACGGAGGGGCAACCCAAUGUCUGUUACAGCCUGGCAGUCCUACCUUGGGUUGGAGCGAGGAAUCAAUACG